UACCUCUUAUAAAUGGUGACUUCCAGUCAGGUGCUCAGGUCGUCACUUCCUCUUCUGCCAAUUUUUUGUUUUUAUUAUUUUGUUUUCAAUCUCUUUUAUUGGAGUUUUAUGUUAGUUUUGUUUUUGGUAGGAUUUUUCAUAUUUUCUAAUAAGGGUUUUGUACAGUAUGCAUGCUGGUUUGGUCUGUCUUUCGAUGAUUUGUUCUUUUUUUUUCGGUUGUUUUUUUUCCAUUUUAUAUAGGAAAAGGGAAAGCAAAAGGCAGAGAGAGCAAUGGAUUUAUGCAGGAAUAUUUAGGAGAAAGCCUGGAUUGCCUCUGUCUUAUGCAGAGCAAUUUGUGCUCUAAGUUGAUUCCACAUUAGAGGUUUGCUUGAAAUUGAAGGCUCUGCGGUUAUUCUCCAUUCAGAAAUAAUGAUCUAAAUUUGUGUUUGACAAGUUGAGUUGGAAGCUGAAGUCAAAGUGAUGAAUGUAAUAUACAAAAUUUGAGACAAAUUUUUCAAUAUUGAAUGGGUUACUAAAUGCAAUUUUUAAUAUCUAAAACUGGAGAAAAUGUUGCUUUUUUUAAUCAAUUGUUAAAAUUGGUAUAAAUGUAAUUUGUAAAUUUAGGCAAUUUACUGGAUAAUGUAUCUAAAACUGGAGAAGGUGUUGCAUUUUUGGAAUAGUUUCUGAAAUCGAUAGCAUCAAUAAAUGUAAUAUGUAAACUGACUUAUAAUUUAAUACCAUUAUUUUUAUUUGGAGGGGGUUGAAUUUGCCCCCUUCCUAA